rnacentral:rRNA from 1 species
AUGAGAGGAGGAGGAGGAGGAGGGGAGGACACGCGGAGGACGGCGGCCGGGCAGGCCAUGGUGGAGCUGCAGGCCAACGGCGCGACCGCGACGUCGGCCAGCGGGGCGAUGGUGGUGGGGCUGAGCCCGCUGAGCGAGACGCUGUGGCGGGACAGCAAGGCGAUGCCCGGAGCGGGCGCGGCGGUGCUCAUCGGCGAGGUGUCGGCGAGGCUGACGUGGAAGGACCUGUCGGUCACCGUGGCGCUGGGCCCCGGCAAGACGCAGACCGUGCUGGACGAGCUCACCGGCUUCGCCGAGCCCGGGUCGCUGACGGCGCUCAUGGGCCCGUCCGGCUCCGGCAAGUCCACGCUCCUCGACGCCCUCGCCGGCCGCCUCGCCGCCAACGCCUUCCUCUCCGGCAGCGUGCUGCUCAACGGCCGCAAGGCCAAGCUCUCCUUCGGCGCCGCGGCGUACGUGACGCAGGACGACAACCUGAUCGGGACGCUGACGGUGCGGGAGACGAUCGGCUACUCGGCGCUGCUGCGGCUGCCGGACAAGAUGCCGCGCGACGACAAGCGCGCGCUGGUGGAGGGCACCAUCGUGGAGAUGGGGCUCCAGGACUGCGCCGACACCGUCAUCGGCAACUGGCACCUCCGGGGCGUCAGCGGCGGCGAGAAGCGCCGGGUCAGCAUCGCCCUGGAGCUCCUCAUGCGGCCCCGCCUCCUCUUCCUCGACGAGCCCACCAGCGGCCUCGACAGCUCCUCGGCCUUCUUCGUGACGCAGACGCUGCGGGGCCUGGCGAGGGACGGCAGGACAGUGAUUGCGUCCAUCCACCAGCCCAGCAGCGAGGUCUUCGAGCUCUUCGACAUGCUCUUCCUGCUCUCCGGGGGCAAAAACGUCUACUUCGGACAGGCAGCGCAAGCAUGUGAGUUCUUCGCUGAAGUUGGUUUCCCAUGCCCGCCUUUGAGAAAUCCCUCGGAUCAUUUCCUGAGGUGCGUCAACUCCGACUUCGACAAGGUCAAGGCCACCCUGAAAGGAUCAAUGAAAGCAAGGAUCGAAAGGUCUGAUGAUCCUCUAGACAAGAUAACCACAUCAGAGGCCAUCAGGAAACUGGUCUCUGCCUACAACAGGUCGCAGUACUACUAUGCUGCCAGGGAGAAAGUUAAUGACAUUGCACGAAUCAAAGGAACAGUGAUGGAUUCAAGGGGCAGCCAGGCCAGCUUCUUGAUGCAGGCGUGUACACUUACCAGGCGUUCAUUCAUCAACAUGUCGCGCGACUUUGGGUACUACUGGCUCAGGCUCUUGAUCUAUCUCCUCGUGACCGUCUGCAUCGGCACAAUCUACCUGGAUGUCGGCACCAAAUACACAUCCAUCCUGGCCAGGGCAGCAUGUGCAGCAUUCGUCUUUGGAUUCGUCACCUUCAUGUCCAUUGGAGGAUUCCCUUCAUUCGUGGAAGAAAUGAAGGUUUUCCAGCGGGAACGGUUGAAUGGGCACUACGGUGUUGCAGCAUUUGUCAUUGCCAACACCAUCUCUGCUCUGCCAUUCCUGGUCCUGAUAUGCUUCAUGUCAGGGACAGUAUGCUACUUCAUGGUGCGCCUUCAUCCCGGUUUCACACACUACAUCUUCUUUGUCUUGAACCUCUACGCCAGUGUCACCGUGGUUGAGAGUUUGAUGAUGGCCAUUGCAAGUGUCAUACCCAAUUUCCUCAUGGGCAUCAUCAUAGGAGCUGGAAUUCAGGGAAUAUUCAUGCUUGUCUCCGGAUACUUCAGACUUCCAUAUGACAUCCCGAAGGUUUUCUGGAGAUACCCCAUGCAGUACAUCAGCUUCCAUUACUGGGCACUACAGGGCCAAUGCCAGAAUGACAUGGACGGUCUCCUAUUCGACAACCAAUACCCGGACCAGCCGAAGAUCCCUGGGGAGUUCAUCCUGAAGUACAUCUUCCAGAUCAAUGUGCACCGGUCGAAGUGGAUCGACCUGUCGGUCAUCUUCAGCAUGAUCUUCAUCUACCGCCUGCUGUUCUUCAUCAUGAUCAAGGUGAACGAGGACGUGAUGCCCUGGAUCCGGGGCUACAUCGCGAGGAAAAGGCUUCAGAAGAAGGUGCCUGCCAUCGGCAAGACGCCUUCCCUGAGAGGCUAUGUUGUGGAUCCGGAGCUUGGUCCUAACGAAGGCUAG